GCACUCGCUUAGGCAGCACAUAUACUAAAAUUAGAACAACAGAGAAAAUUCACUUGGCCCCUGCGCAAGAAUGACAAGCAAAUUCAUGAAGCAUUGCAUGUUAAA
ensembl:snRNA U6 U6 spliceosomal RNA